rnacentral:lncRNA from 1 species
GGGCCUGAUCCUGGAGACCCGGGAUCGAGUCCCACAUAGGGCUCCUGCCGGAGGGAGCCUGCUUCUCCCUCUGCCUGUGUCUCUCCCUGUGUGUGUGUGUGUGUCUCAUGAAUGAAUAAAUAAAAUCUUAAAAAAAAAAAAAGAAAAAGUAUCAAUUUGGUCCAAAACUAAUAAAUAUGUCAGUGGAAAACUGGGUCAAUUCUAGAUUCAAGUUUGACCUUUUGACCUUUAUCUAGUAUUUUCAUUUUCCUAAUUUGAUCUCUUUUUUUAAAAGUGAUCUUCUUAUUUCAUUUCCUCCUAGUUUCUUCUUAAAAACUUAAAAUCAUAGCUAGAUGGCUUCUAUACCACCUUUUUGCCUAACUGUCAACAACUUUUAAAUGAAGUUAGAUGAUUUCCCUUUUCUAAAACAAAGUUUAUUUUCCUCGAUCAUGCAGAGGGUGAUAGAUAAUUAAGAUAGAGAGACACAUAUGGUGAUGAGGUAAGAUUUAACCAAGGAAGUAGGAAAUGUAGGCUCUCCCCUUAAAGAACAUACUAUGAAAUGAAGUCUAAUUUUUUUAUGCAGUGCCCCUUGAAAAUGUGAAUUUAUGUCAUUGGUGGUAUACACAGUGCUGGGCUAUCUUCUGUGAAAAAGAUCUCAAUCAUUGAUUCCAAAAUUCAGCUUUUAGUUAGAGUAAUGCAACUUGGAAAUUUGAUGGCUCCUCUUCAAUGAAUAUGGAGACAUUUCUUGGUUUGGUUAUUAUAUAAAAGAGAAAAUCCAUAUUCUCAUAUUUUCAAUCUUUGUUAUUAUUUCUAUUCAUAAUCAUAGUCUUCCUUAAAGUAUGACAUUUAUAAAAUGAUUGAUGUAAUGUUUUUAUUUGUUUAUUCAUAGUUAUUGAGCAUCUAUGAUGUAUAAAAACAAAAAUAUGCUAAGUGUUAAGACAAAGCUUAAAGAAGAUGGACACCAUCUCUACCUCCACAGAACCUAUUAGGCAAGUAAUCACACAACAAAUUAUUUAAGUUCGAUUAUGAAGAGGAGAAAUAGUAAUUCAAGAGUACCCCCUAAAAUUUACACAAAGUUCUUUAGUGUUAUCAAAUAAUUUACUUAUUGAAAUAUAGCAUUGAUUAAAUCAACUGUUAGUAACUUUGGAAAACAUGUUCACUAUCAAUAUAAGCAUAAAUAAAAAUAAUAAAAUAUUAAAACAAAGAGAAAUAUUGCUAUGCAAUCAGGGUAGAUACUAUCAAAAGUCCACAUUUAAAUUCUGCCAUGGGUUAGGUUUGUUAAGCACAUAUAUAGUUCUAAGAUAUGAUUAUUGUUUGCUCUAAACACACUUUUCUUUUUUAUAUUCUUAGUUCUAAUCCUUUUUGGAUUUUAUUAAAUUUUAAAAUCCAUAUAUGUGAUUGAUUUGGGCUUAAGUAAUUGAAAUUAUUAGCAAAAGUCAUUAACAUACUUAAAAUAGUAGCUCCACUUCCCUAUACUUCAAUUUUCCCCCAGUGUUAUAGCAAGAUUUAUGGUAGAAUUUGCCAGUUCAACUAACCAUAUCUUCUCUGUCCCAUCCUUGCCAUGAUCCUCACAUACUUCGGUAGUUAUAUAUAUAUAUAUAUAUAUCAUGUAUAGACUUAUUUUCCAUAUGUAUGGAAAUAUGGAAUAUGUCUUCAUUCAAAUUGUAAAAUAGUUGAAAAGAAGGUCCAACUCUUAUGAGAACCCCAGAGCAAUAGGUAAAAUGCCAUAUAUCCCAUAGAUGUUCAGUAAACGUUUGCAGGGGGGCAUCUGAUUAUAUAAUCUGUAAAUAAUACCUGCUUAUUUAAAUUAGUAAACCGGACAUCCAGAAAGGUAAAACUUUCCAAAAUUCCAUCAGAGUUCUCACUUGGACCAAUUCUACUCUAUAAUCACAGCCCUAGUAAAUGUUUCCUUUCUUGCUCUAUGCUCACAUAAUGACUACAUCUUUCACCACCAAAGAUCAAACCACUGCCUGCAAUAUUACCCUGUUUCUUAUAGUUUUUCUUUUCCUGUCUGACAGGCCCUCUCCAUUCAACAUCAUGAGAGAUAAAGGGAUGUGAGCUUAGUUUCUAAGCUCAAAGUUGACUUCCAUAAUAUAGCCUGGUACAUCUGUCUGUGAAAACGCAGGAACCUUCAAAUGGUUUUGAAAGCAUUACCACCAGUAGGUCUUAGAGGAUUGUAACCAAGAAGGAAAUUGAGGCUUGAGGAUUAGACAGGGUGUCUCCAUAAGAUCAAGUAAUAUCAAAGCAGCCAGAAUAGCAGAGGUGGUAAGAGAUGUGGGCUUAGGUUUGCCAGGAGCUCUGACAGCCUACCCUCCCCACACAGAAGCCCCUCCUUGUUUCAGGCCCCAGAUCCUCAAAGACAGACAGGGUCUUUAAUUAAGUGUCAAAGAAUUGAUUAGGAGAGCUCUUGCAAUGCAAGCUCAUUGAUGAAACCAUUUUGGCAGGCUGGAUGAUAUAAUUAGCCCAAACAAGAUAUGAAAUCUGUAGUGUUUUGGGAUACUGUCCAAUACUUUUAAAAUUUGUAAUAAAAAAGAGACAAGGGAAGAAAACAGAACAAGAAGAUGAUUUAUGCUUGUCUACUUAAAGAAGAUAGGAAGAAAAAAGAUUCCAUGAUAACAUUCGCCAGAUAUGGAUGCUUUAAGUUUCUGUUAUUUUUUACAGGAAAUAUCACUCAGGAAACCUGUGUCAUUUCUACCUUUGUGAAGUUUGGCACUAUACAAAUACAGGUUUUAUUGGAGGCAUAAGUAUUCCUCAAGCCAAUGUAUUCACAAAUUCCCAUCUCAACAUAGACAUUCAUUUAAGGAACAUUCUCUCACACAUGCUAACCUGAGUUCUUUGGAGGACAAUAAAAGAGAAGAUAUGAAUAAUGCAGGACCUAAAUCUCACUAAUGGCCAGAGCCAGGAGCAAAGGGUACAAGAAUGAGUGACUAAGGGUAACUAUGAAAGGAAAAUGCACUCGGUACUUCACUGUUGAUGCCGUAACGUGGUGUUUUUGUCUGUUUUGUUUUUCUAUCAGAAACAGUUCUUUAUUGACCAUCCUUAAUGGAUAUCGCUCCCCUGUUCCCCUCUAGUCUUCUUAUUUGUAUUGUUUGUGUAUAUGGAUAGAUAAGGAUGACAAACACAUAUUUUGGCUUAACUCUACAUGCUCUCAAGUUUUUGUGGUAUCUGUGGCAAUUUAAUGAUCCUGUAUUUUUGUCAACAAUCUUGCCAUUUCAGGAUAGUUUACAGAGGUGCAGCUCAGAGUUAACUAGUGUGUAUACAGGGUGUCAUCAUCUGAAGAUGUGAUUAAAUUAUUAUUUGUGCCUUUUAAGCAUCAUUUUCUUAUUUAAAAAAAAGUUUUUAUUUUUUUGUUUAUUUAUUCAUGAGAGACACAAAGAGAGGGGCAGAGACAUAGAGAGAGGGAGAAGCAGGCUCCAUGCAAGGAUCCUGAUGUAGGACUCAAUCCCGGAACUUCAGGAUCAUGCCCUGAGCCAAAGGCAGAUGCUCAACCACUGAGCCACCCAGGUGCCCCUUAAGCAUCAUUUUCAUCAUGGUUCUAAUAGGCUCACUUCUCAGGUGGACAUAUUAAUGUAGGAAAUUUGCUGUGAGCUGGCUCACUUAUAAUGAAGGAAAGUCACUCCACACUCACCAGAGGUCUUCUACCAACUUUUUCACGUGAAAUCCUGGAUACAUGCAGUUUCAUAAGAAUUUAAGUUAUUCAUUAUAAUAAAGACUGUUCUAGGAGGUAUUCAUGGGAAACAAUCUUAUUUUUUAUUUUCUUAAAUAUUUAAUUUAUUUAUUUGAGAGAGAGAUAGCAAGAGAGAGCAGGAGCUGGCUGGGGGGGUGGUGCGUGGGGCAGGCAGGGAGAGAGAGAAGCAAGCUCCCUGCUGAGCAGGAAGCCUGCCAUGGGGCUCAAUCCCAGGACCCUGGGAUCAUGACCUGAGCUGAAGGCAAAUGCUUAACUUACUGAGGCACCCAGAUACUUCAUUUUAAUAUUACUUUUUAGAGGGAGGAAGGAGCAGAGGGGGAGGGAAAGGGAGAAGCUUAAGCAGGCUGCAUGCCUAGCCUGGAGCCCAACAUGGGGCUUGAUCCCACAAUCCUGAGGUCAUAACCAGAGCUGAGGUCAAGAGUCAGAAGCUUAAUCAACUGAGCCACCCAUGUGUCCCCAAACAUUCUUAUUUUAUAGAGAUUCAUAGAGAGAGCAAUUCUGCAACCUCUACUUUCUCUUUUAUUUCAGCAGCUUUAUUAUUGGGUAUUUUUCUUAUAGUUAAUUUAUCUUUUUUAUCUGAAUCUUAUUU